CCCGCUGAACUUAAGCAUAUCAAUAAGCGGAGGAAAAGAAACUAACAAGGAUUCCCCUAGUAACGGCGAGUGAAGCGGGAAAAGCUCAAAUUUGAAACCUGGCCUCUUCGAGGAAAAUGUCGCAGGGUUGUAGUUUAUAGAGGCGUUUUCGAUGGAAUCCUGGGUAUAAGUCUUUUGGAACAAGGCAUCAUAGAGGGUGAGAAUCCCGUCUUUGACUCAGAGUUUUCCAUUAUGUGAUACGUCUUCAUAGAGUCGAGUUGUUUGGGAAUGCAGCUCAAAAUGGGUGGUAAAUCUCAUCUAAAGCUAAAUAUUGGCGAGAGACCGAUAGCGAACAAGUACCGUGAGGGAAAGAUGAAAAGAACUUUGAAAAGAGAGUUAAACAGUACGUGAAAUUGUUGAAAGGGAAACGCUUGAAGUCAGUCGUGUCCUUCAGAAAUCAACCUGACCUUGGUCUGGCUUACUUUCUGGUGGAUGGGUCAGCAUCAAUUUUGAUCAUUGGAUAAAGGCUUUGGGAAAGUGACAUCUCCGGAUGUGUUAUAGCCCUUGGUUCAUAUACAGUGGUUGGGAUUGAGGAACUCAGUGUGAACUUGGGGCUUUGGCCUACAACACGCACUUAGGAUGCUGGCAUAAUGGCUUUAAUCGACCCGUCUUGAAACACGG
rnacentral:rRNA from 1 species